GCCAGAUCACACGACACCCACUCGGAAACUGGAGUCAACAGAGAGCCGCAGCUGCUCGUACCGGGCAAGUCUCUGCGGGGUGGGACCCUGUCCCAGGACGCAGGAUUGGCGCUGAGCUCGGGAUCUCUGUGUGCACCUGCAUCGCUGGUAGGAGGACGCCCAGGAACCAAGGAGUGAGGCAGGAGCAGCCCCCGGCAUCAUCACUCCCAGUGACCCAGGAAGGGAUUUGUGCUUUUUUCCCUGCGGCUCUGGGCACUGCAGAGUUAGAGGUCCUGGUCCCCGGGGAUGGAGGGAGGGGGUAUAUCAGCGGGCACAGAGCAUGUCCAGUGACGCACAAACCACGGCUGCCCUCUGGUGCGUCGGGUUCCUUGUGGGGGGAUCACCAGGCAGGAGAGAGCACCACCGUCCUGGCAGGACAGAUCUGGAAACUGGACGGCCCCAAACUGAGUCCAAGUCCUGCAUCUGCCAGUCGUGUGAACUUGGGAUAAGCAGGCAUGAGAACGCCCUUCUCUCUGCAAGAAGAUGCCCGCCCUUACCAAGGUGACUUCCAAGGACUUCAGGAACCUGAAACCUCGUCCUUGAUCGACUCGUGGUGUUGAAGGCCCUGCCAAAGCCAGCCUGGCACUGCUCUCUGGGAUGGAGACGGGAGAUGGCAUUCCGGGUCUAAAUUCUCGUGGGUGGUUCUCAGCUGUCAGGAGGUGCCAGGCUUACCUGCCAGGACCGUGGUUUUCUGUCAUUGUAACUGUGGGAAUGGCUAAGUCCUGUCUAUGACAGUCACACGAAAUAAAGUGUUCUGUGCUCCAGGA
rnacentral:lncRNA from 1 species